rnacentral:miRNA from 1 species
UAGUACUGCAAUGUACACAUUGCAGAUUCUUAAAACUGCAAUAUUUUACAUUGCAGGACUA